rnacentral:lncRNA from 1 species
GAUCAUAUCACCACAAUCGACCAAGCUUUUGUAUUUUAAAGAUUGAUUCUUGAACUCCACGGACGAAAGGAAUCCGUGGAUGAACACUACGCAUACCUUGGAAGGGAGGUUCUUGAUGAUUGACGGAGGAAUUUCCUUGAAAUUUGAUCUUCAAGCUUGAUUGUGCAACCCUAGUUGUUUUUCUCCUAUGGUGCUCUUGGAUGAUGAG